rnacentral:rRNA from 1 species
UGGGGAAUAUUGGACAAUGGGCGAAAGCCUGAUCCAGCCAUGCCGCGUGUGUGAAGAAGGUCUUCGGAUUGUAAAGCACUUUAAGCUGGGAGGAAGGGCAGUAAGCGAAUACCUUGCUGUUUUGACGUUACCGACAGAAUAAGCACCGGCUAACUCUGUGCCAGCAGCCGCGGUAAUACAGAGGGUGCAAGCGUUAAUCGGAAUUACUGGGCGUAAAGCGCGCGUAGGUGGUUCGUUAAGUUGAAUGUGAAAGCCCCGGGCUCAACCUGGGAACUGCAUCCAAAACUGGCGAGCUAGGGUAGGGCAGAGGGUGGUAGAAUUUCCUGUGUAGCGGUGAAAUGCGUAGAUAUAGGAAGGAACACCAGUGGCGAAGGCGACCACCUGGGCUCAUACUGACACUGAAGUGCGAAAGCGUGGGGAGCAAACAGG